UUGUAAAUUUGAAAUUCUUUCUAAUAAUUCUCCAAACUAUUAUAAAGCUCCCUCUUUCUCUCUCUAAACAUCUAGCUAGUGAGAGGAAGUAUGGAAGUAAGAUUUUUCAAGGGUUUUAAAGUGAGAGAGUGAAAAAGCACAAAGGUUCUAUGAAAGGGUACACAAAAGCAUGAAAGGUGAAACUGGCUUGAGAGAGUUAUGGAAGCUUGAAGAGAACUCCCAUGGAGGAUGAAGAAACAUGAG
rnacentral:lncRNA from 1 species